UCCCUGGUGGUCUACUGGCUAGGAUUCGGCGCUUUCACCGCCGCGGCCCGGGUUCGAUUCCCGGUCAGGGAA
rfam:Loxodonta africana unplaced genomic scaffold scaffold_11, whole genome shotgun sequence.